rnacentral:snRNA from 1 species
UCCACCAGGAGAUCGGGCUCUAACGUACAUGGUUCUUGCCUUUUACCAGAACCAUCCGGGGCCCGUCUUUGUAUAAUGGUGUAUCGUAUAAUUUUUGGGAACCACAAACCAUAUUGUUAC